AUUGAACGCUGGCGGCAGGCCUAACACAUGCAAGUCGAACGCGUGGCGGACGGGUGAGUAAUGUUUGGGAAUCUACCUUAUGGAGGGGGAUAACUAAGGGAAACUGUAGCUAAUACCGCGUACCAUAGGAUGUGCCCAACUGGGAUUAGGUAGUUGGUGGGGUAAAGGCUCACCAAGGCGACGAUCUCUAGCUGGUCUGAGAGGAUGACCAGCCACACUGGGACUGAGAAACGGUCCAGAGUCCUACGUGAGGCAGAAGGGGGGAAUAUUGCACAAUGGGGGAAAGCUGAUACAGCCAUGCCGCGUGAAUGAAGAAGGCCUGCGGGUUGGAAAGUACUUUCAGUGGGGAGGCGUUAACUGCAGAAGAAGCACCGGCUAACUCCGUGCCAGCAGCCGCGGGAAUAC
rnacentral:rRNA from 1 species